UGUGACUAAAACACAUGUCCAAUUGUGAAACUCACUCCACGCUCUCAAUCCCAAAAUCUCCAGAACCAAAAAGAUGGCGAUUGCAAAGCUUCGAAGUGCUCGAGCGAUCUUAGAUGGAAGCAAUGGAGGCCUGCGAAUCUUAUAUUUCUACAGAUUCUUCAUCUAUGCUGUCGCUAUCAUCUCGAUUUUUAUAUUCUCUACUCUCUUUCUCUUUUCUUCUUCAUUGAUAACCGAUUCAAUAGUUGUCAAGUUGAUGAGUAAAGAUCUAUAUAUUUCUGAAAAGUUUCAUUUUUCUUAAGUUUUUGGGUAAAAAAUUACUAAAUCUGUGGGCUUUUUUGUUGUAUUAGGGUGGGGUUUCUUCUCGUUUUAAGUUCAUCCACUCUAUUCGGAGAUCUGUGCUUGCCGUGAAGUCAGAUCCCUUGAAACCGUGUGUGGAUUAGAUCCAGAAGCAAGCUGAUGACCAUAGAUCUCUAGCCCUCGCUUAUGAUUCUUUUGCAUGAAAGUUGAAGCUUGUUAGGGCUUUUGCUGAUCUAACUCGUAAUUAUAUAGAUCUGUUGUCUGUAUUGUCUUACUGAUCUUUGUUCGUUUUCAAUGAUGUUUCGAUUGAUGAGUAUACGCUUCGCCAGUUCAAGAAGGAGGUGAAGGAACGGAUCAUACUCGAUAACCAGCUGAAGAUUCAGAAGCUUAAAGACACUAUUUUUGCUGUCAAUGAGCACCUCACCAAGGCUAAGAAACAGGAGGCUUUCUUGAGCUUGAUUGCUGUGAAAUCGAUUCCUAAAAGCUUGUGAUUUCUUCAAGCAGCAGCUCCCUCUCCAAUUGUUGGCAUGUGGAUUUCAUCACAGACUAAUAGGAGUUUCAAAUUAAGAUGAAAGGAUCAGACUUACAAACAAUCAAUUGAGAACAACACCAAUAGUGGUCAGGGGCGACGAUCGUGGGAGCACUUGGAGGAUCACGUUUAUGGAGGUGGAGAGUGAAAUCUCCGGUGGAGGAGGAGCAGUGUCCGGGGAGAUUCAGAUGAAGAAAACGAAAGAGAGAAGAUAGAGAGGGACGAGAUAUUAGAGUUCACCUUUUGCAAUUGCAAGGGUAUUUUGGUAUUUAAAAAAAUAUAUAAUAGCUAACAUUAGCAUAUACUGACAGCGGGGGUCUGAGUAUAGUUUGGUAUUAUGUAGGAGGUAUCUCUCUAAUAAUGGCAUUCUCUUGGGGGUGGCAUUGUAAAUUACCCUUUAAAUAAUCAUUGCUUGUUAGUGACAA